AUGAUACGCGAGGAACCUUACCUGGGCUCGAACGUAAGAUGACUGUAGGUGAAAGCUUACAUCUCUUCGGAGCAUUUUACGAGGUGCUGCAUGGUUGUCGUCAGCUCGUGCCGUGAGGUGUCGGGUUAAGUCCCAUAACGAGCGCAACCCCUACCUUUAGUUGCCAUCAGGUAAUGCUGGGGACUCUAAAGGAACUGCCUACGCAAGUAGUGAGGAAGGCGGGGAUGACGUCAAAUCAGCACGGCCCUUACGUCCAGGGCUACACACGUGCUACAAUGGCCGAUACAGAGGGCAGCUACCUGGUGACAGGAUGCAAAUCUCCAAAGUCGGUCUCAGUUCGGAUCGGAGUCUGCAACCCGACUCCGUGAAGUUGGAUUCGCUAGUAAUCGCGCAUCAGCCAUGGCGCGGUGAAUACGUUCCCGGGCCUU
rnacentral:rRNA from 1 species